rnacentral:rRNA from 1 species
UUAAGCGACUAAGCGUACACGGUGGAUGCCCUGGCAGUCAGAGGCGAUGAAGGACGUGCUAAUCUGCGAAAAGCGUCGGUAAGGUGAUAUGAACCGUUAUAACCGGCGAUGUCCGAAUGGGGAAACCCAGUGCAAUUCGUUGCACUAUCGUUAACUGAAUACAUAGGUUAACGAGGCGAACCGGGGGAACUGAAACAUCUAAGUACCCCGAGGAAAAGAAAUCAACCGAGAUUCCCCCAGUAGCGGCGAGCGAACGGGGAGCAGCCCAGAGUCUGAAUCAGCUUGUGUGUUAGUGGAACGGUCUGGAAAGUCCGACGGUACAGGGUGAUAGUCCCGUACACCAAAAUGCACAGGUUGUGAACUCGAAGAGUAGGGCGGGACACGUGGUAUCCUGUCUGAAUAUGGGGGGACCAUCCUCCAAGGCUAAAUACUCCUGACUGACCGAUAGUGAACCAGUACCGUGAGGGAAAGGCGAAAAGAACCCCGGCGAGGGGAGUGAAAAAGAACCUGAAACCGUGUACGUACAAGCAGKGGGAGCACCUUCGGGUGUGACUGCGUACCUUUUGUAUAAUGGGUCAGCGACUUAUAUUCUGUAGCAAGGUUAACCGUAUAGGGGAGCCGCAGGGAAACCGAGUCUUAACUGGGCGUUAAGUUGCAGGGUAUAGACCCGAAACCCGGUGAUCUAGCCAUGGGCAGGUUGAAGGUUGGGUAACACUAACUGGAGGACCGAACCGACUAAUGUUGAAAAAUUAGCGGAUGACUUGUGGCUGGGGGUGAAAGGCCAAUCAAACCGGGAGAUAGCUGGUUCUCCCCGAAAGCUAUUUAGGUAGCGCCUCGUGAACUCAUCUUCGGGGGUAGAGCACUGUUUCGGCUAGGGGGUCAUCCCGACUUACCAACCCGAUGCAAACUACGAAUACCGAAGAAUGUUAUCACGGGAGACACACGGCGGGUGCUAACGUCCGUCGKGAAGAGGGAAACAACCCAGACCGCCAGCUAAGGUCCCAAAGUCAUGGUUAAGUGGGAAACGAUGUGGGAAGGCACAGACAGCCAGGAUGUUGGCUUAGAAGCAGCCAUCAUUUAAAGAAAGCGUAAUAGCUCACUGGUCGAGUCGGCCUGCGCGGAAGAUGUAACGGGGCUAAACCAUGCACCGAAGCUGCGGCAGCGACACUAUGUGUUGUUGGGUAGGGGAGCGUUCUGUAAGCCUGCGAAGGUGACCUGUGAGGGUUGCUGGAGGUAUCAGAAGUGCGAAUGCUGACAUAAGUAACGAUAAAGCGGGUGAAAAGCCCGCUCGCCGGAAGACCAAGGGUUCCUGUCCAACGUUAAUCGGGGCAGGGUGAGUCGACCCCUAAGGCGAGGCCGAAAGGCGUAGUCGAUGGGAAACAGGUUAAUAUUCCUGUACUUGGUGUUACUGCGAAGGGGGGACGGAGAAGGCUAUGUUAGCCGGGCGACGGUUGUCCCGGUUUAAGCAUGUAGGCUGAUUGUCCAGGCAAAUCCGGAUAAUCAAGGCUGAGGUGUGAUGACGAGGCACUACGGUGCUGAAGUAACAAAUGCCCUGCUUCCAGGAAAAGCCUCUAAGCAUCAGGUAACAUUAAAUCGUACCCCAAACCGACACAGGUGGUCAGGUAGAGAAUACCAAGGCGCUUGAGAGAACUCGGGUGAAGGAACUAGGCAAAAUGGUGCCGUAACUUCGGGAGAAGGCACGCUGGUGUGUAGGUGAAGUCCCUGCGGAUGGAGCUGAGACCAGUCGAAGAUACCAGCUGGCUGCAACUGUUUAUUAAAAACACAGCACUGUGCAAACACGAAAGUGGACGUAUACGGUGUGACGCCUGCCCGGUGCCGGAAGGKUAAUUGAUGGGGUUAUCCGUAAGGAGAAGCUCUUGAUCGAAGCCCCGGUAAACGGCGGCCGUAACUAUAACGGUCCUAAGGUAGCGAAAUUCCUUGUCGGGUAAGUUCCGACCUGCACGAAUGGCGUAAUGAUGGCCAGGCUGUCUCCACCCGAGACUCAGUGAAAUUGAACUCGCUGUGAAGAUGCAGUGUACCCGCGGCAAGACGGAAAGACCCCGUGAACCUUUACUAUAGCUUGACACUGAACAUUGAGCCUUGAUGUGUAGGAUAGGUGGGAGGCUUUGAAGCGUGGACGCCAGUCUGCGUGGAGCCAACCUUGAAAUACCACCCUUUAAUGUUUGAUGUUCUAACGUUGGCCCCUGACCGGGGUUGCGGACAGUGUCUGGUGGGUAGUUUGACUGGGGCGGUCUCCUCCCAAAGCGUAACGGAGGAGCACGAAGGUUAGCUAAUCCUGGUCGGACAUCAGGAGGUUAGUGCAAUGGCAUAAGCUAGCUUGACUGCGAGCGUGACGGCGCGAGCAGGUGCGAAAGCAGGUCAUAGUGAUCCGGUGGUUCUGAAUGGAAGGGCCAUCGCUCAACGGAUAAAAGGUACUCCGGGGAUAACAGGCUGAUACCGCCCAAGAGUUCAUAUCGACGGCGGUGUUUGGCACCUCGAUGUCGGCUCAUCACAUCCUGGGGCUGAAGUAGGUCCCAAGGGUAUGGCUGUUCGCCAUUUAAAGUGGUACGCGAGCUGGGUUUAGAACGUCGUGAGACAGUUCGGUCCCUAUCUGCCGUGGGCGCUGGAGAAUUGAGGGGGGCUGCUCCUAGUACGAGAGGACCGGAGUGGACGCAUCACUGGUGUUCGGGUUGUCAUGCCAAUGGCACUGCCCGGUAGCUAAAUGCGGAAGAGAUAAGUGCUGAAAGCAUCUAAGCACGAAACUUGCCCCGAGAUGAGUUCUCCCUGAGACUUUAAGUCUCCUGAAGGAACGUUGAAGACGACGACGUUGAUAGGCCGGGUGUGUAAGCGCAGCGAUGCGUUGAGCUAACCGGUACUAAUGAACCGUGAGGCUUAACCUU